GUCGGACGCUGGCGGCGCGCCUAACACAUGCAAGUCGAACGGAGCUGAGAGAAGCUUGCUUUUCUUAGCUUAGUGGCGAACGGGUGAGUAACGCGUGAGUAACCUGCCCUGGAGUGGGGGACAACAGUUGGAAACGACUGCUAAUACCGCAUAAGCCCACGAUCCGGCAUCGGAUUGAGGGAAAAGGAUUUAUUCGCUUCAGGAUGGACUCGCGUCCAAUUAGCUAGUUGGUGAGGUAACGGCCCACCAAGGCGACGAUUGGUAGCCGGACUGAGAGGUUGAACGGCCACAUUGGGACUGAGACACGGCCCAGACUCCUACGGGAGGCAGCAGUGGGGGAUAUUGCACAAUGGGGGAAACCCUGAUGCAGCGACGCCGCGUGGAGGAAGAAGGUUUUCGGAUUGUAAACUCCUGUCGUUAGGGACGAUAAUGACGGUACCUAACAAGAAAGCACCGGCUAACUACGUG
rnacentral:rRNA from 1 species